UAAACAACCCUAAGCACUACUCUCGACUUCCUUCCCCGAAAGUUUGCUUCUUCCGACAACCCACAUCUCCGCCGCCGACCGCCUCCAGCUCCGCCACCGGCCGCCUCUCUCAAAUUAUUUCUCCUCCUCCUCCAGCGCCUUCCGCGUUUUUUUCCUUCUAAUUUCUCUGUUUUGAUUUGGAUUUUGAGCUGCAAAAGUUCAUACGCUUUGGUUCGCUCAUCCGCUCUCUUGUUGAUAGAAAUGUCGUCCCUAAAGAAUGCGGUCUCUCGACGGCCUUACAAGGAGCGAGCUCAGCCGCAAUCUCGGAAGAAAUUUGGGCUUCUUGAGAAACACAAAGACUAUAUCGAGCGUGCUAAGGCUUAUCACAAGAAGGAGGAUACUUUACGGAUACUUAAAGAGAAGGCAGCCUUCAGGAAUCCAGAUGAAUUUUACUUUAAGAUGAUUAGGACGAGAACAGUUGAUGGAGUCCAUAAACUAGAGAGUCAGGCAAAUAAGUAUACUGCAGAGCAACUCAUGCUGAUGAAAACCCAAGAUUCUGGCUAUAUACUUCAGAAAAUGCAGAGUGAGAAAAAGAAAAUUGAAAAAUUGACAGCCACGUUACAUUCUCUUGAUAGUCAGCCAUCAAAUAAGCAUCUUUACUUUGCUGAAGACAGGGAGGAGGCCAACAAAAUUCAAUCCCGUUUUACCAACGGCAGAUCCGCGGCAUCUUCUGAGGCAGUUCCUGAUAGUAUUAGAAGGAAAACCGUUGCUUCUUACAAAGAAUUGGAGGCAAGGAGGAGUAGAGUCAGUGAAUUAGAGAAACUUUAUAUGGAUAUGACACUGCAACAGGAAUUAAGGAAAAAAGGACGCAAACGUAAACUUGGGGAAGAUGAACUCGCCAAUCCGACUUCAAAACCUAUAUACAAGUGGCGGAAAGAACGAAAGCGCUGAUUAAGUAUUCCAUUGCCAUGGGAAGAGAUUUGGUUUGGAACACUUAGAGUUAUGCUUAGUUCCUGGCUCAAGCAGAUUUUGCAGAGGAUGUAGUUGCAAUUCUCAGGGAAACUGGAUAAAGCUCUGUCUUCCAUGAAAAUCCUUUGGAAAAAAAGAAAAAGUAGGCUGAGAACACUGAGGAGAUCUACAGUCUGGUUCCUCGAGUUUAUUUGCAAAAUUUUGUUUACACAGCAAAUUCAUUAAACAUGCUGUUUUUCUGCUGGGGUGAAGAAUGUAAUUGAUUUACCUUUAUUGUUGUUUAGUGAGAAAUAUAGUGCCUUUUGAUAAUA